rnacentral:lncRNA from 1 species
UAUGAGAUAUAUUCAACUUCCUGGUGAUUCUCCACCACUUUAUGUAUCCAAAUCAAGCUUCUUACAAAGUUAUUCAUCCUGCAUUGAUUGGAACGACGAAGAAGCUGUCCUAUUCCCUAACUGGGAAACUGGAAUCACCUGAAUUGAAAGUGGGAUAACUUCUUCAUCCAACCUCCUAUGAGAUUUAUUCAACUUCCUGGUGGAUCUCCACCACUCUAUGUAACCAAAUCAAGCUUCUUACAAAGUCCUUCAUCCUGCUUUGAUUGGAACGACGAAGCUGUCCUAUUCCCAAACUGGGAAACUGGAAUCACCUGAUUUGAAAGUGGGAUAACUUCUUCAUCCAAACU